UCCAGACUCCUACGGGAGGCAGCAGUGGGGAAUAUUGCACAAUGGGGGGAACCCUGAUGCAGCGACGCCGCGUGGGUGAAGGAGCACCUCGGUGCGUAAAGCCCUAUCGGCAGGGAAGAAAAGCGAACAGGUUCGCCUGGACGGUACCUGACUAAGAAGCCCCGGCUAACUACGUGCCAGCAGCCGCGGGAAUACGUAGGGGGCAAGCGUUAUCCGGAUUUACUGGGUGUAAAGGGAGCGUAGACGGCAUGGCAAGUCUGAUGUGAAAACCCGGGGCUCAACCCCGGGACUGCAUUGGAAACUGUCAGGCUAGAGUGUCGGAGAGGCAAGUGGAAUUCCUAGUGUAGCGGUGAAAUGCGUAGAUAUUAGGAGGAACACCAGUGGCGAAGGCGGCUUACUGGACGGCAACUGACGCUGAGGCUCGAAAGCGUGGGGAGCAAACAGGAUUAGAUACCCCAGUAGAC
rnacentral:rRNA from 1 species